rnacentral:rRNA from 1 species
CAGCCGCCGCGGGAAUAUGUAGGGUGCAAGCGUUAAUCGGAAUUACUGGGCGUAAAGCGUGCGCAGGCGGUUCGUUAAGACAGAUGUGAAAUCCCCGGGCUUAACCUGGGAACUGCAUUUGUGACUGGCGGGCUAGAGUAUGGCAGAGGGGGGUAGAAUUCCACGUGUAGCAGUGAAAUGCGUAGAGAUGUGGAGGAAUACCGAUGGCGAAGGCAGCCCCCUGGGCCAAUACUGACGCUCAUGCACGAAAGCGUGGGGAGCAAACAGGAUUAGAUACCCCUGUAGUCCCUGUCUCUUAUAC